rnacentral:tRNA from 3 species
GCCCUUGUAGCUCAGUUGGUAGAGCACAUCCUUGGUAAGGAUGAGGUCGGCGGUUCAAAUCCGCUCGAGGGCUCCA